rnacentral:rRNA from 1 species
AGUGAACGCUGGCGGUAGGCCUAACACAUGCGAGUCGAACGGCAGCACAGUAAGAGCUUGCUCUUACGGGUGGCGAGUGGCGGACGGGUGAGGAAUACAUCGGAAUCUACUUUUUCGUGGGGGAUAACGUAGGGAAACUUACGCUAAUACCGCAUACGACCUACGGGUGAAAGCAGGGGAUCUUCGGACCUUGCGCGAUUGAAUGAGCCGAUGUCGGAUUAGCUAGUUGGCGGAGUAAAGGCCCACCAAGGCGACGAUCCGUAGCUGGUCUGAGAGGAUGAUCAGCCACACUGGAACUGAGACACGGUCCAGACUCCUACGGGAGGCAGCAGUGGGGAAUAUUGGACAAUGGGCGCAAGCCUGAUCCAGCCAUACCGCGUGGGUGAAGAAGGCCUUCGGGUUGUAAAGCCCUUUUGUUGGGAAAGAAAAGCAGCAGGUUAAUACCCCGCUGUUCUGACGGUACCCAAAGAAUAAGCACCGGCUAACUUCGUG